GUAUAUAUAUUUAGGUAAAAUGCCAACCUUUAGGUAUAACCAUGUAUACAUUAUUCAUUUGCUAGUGGAAUUUAGAUUUCACCUUGUGCUAUGUGAAAAGAUGAGGAAGAUGCAUUCUUGAGUUAUUAGUUUAUGCUCAUAAGAUGCUUGAUGAAAUGUCUCAUAAAAGUCUCUUUUUCUUAUACAUUGAGUGAGCGUUUUGUUUGGUUUUUUAGUAUUAUUUUUGUGAAUAUAGGUUGUUCAAAAGAUGCAAACUCCUAAGGAAUGUUGGUUUUAACAUAGGAAACAUAUUGUAUCAUUGUAUUAUUUAUUUCUUUUGUUAUUGAAAUGAAAGGUUUUGGUUAAUAUUUAUAUUCUUCAUCUAAGAUGGACGAGAAAAAGGAGCGGAGGAGAUUUCUUAAAAUUAGUGCCAUGUAAGGUGACAAGCUAAGUUGAAACUCAAUAGUAGUUCAAUGGUACAAAUGCAAAAAUGCAAAACUUAAAAGUUUUGUUGAUACCAUUGACCACUAGGCACUACCAAGAAAGUAAAUGAUAGAUAAACACAAUAAAAUAUAGAAAGGAGCAGACCUGGUCCUUUUUAUCAUAGCAGCUCCAGAUCCAAGACCAAGAACAUCCACAGAUUGAAGUACAGUUGCUUUGGGGUUUGAUCUAUAUCUAUUGUCGUCAAAUAUCUCGUUGACAAUUCCUAUGAUACAGAAAAAAGUUAGUGUCAAAUAAGACCAAACAAAUUGUACACUUGAAGGGCCGUAGUUAGUGUUAAAAAUUCUUUGCAUACUCUACACAAGUGUGAAGUGUCAUCUCCAAACUCAUCUUAAAUCACAAAUGGAACUGCAUUUUUUCUUUUUUC